GGAGAGAUGUCCGAGUGGUUUAAGGAAGCAGUCUUGAAAACUGUCGUACGGCAACGUACCGUGGGUUCGAAUCCCACUCUCUCCGCCA
rnacentral:tRNA from 2 species